rnacentral:lncRNA from 1 species
UUUAAUAAUUCUAAAUAUCUGCCUCCUCAGAGUGGACAUAUCACUGCCAUCAGAAUCAAAACCAAUUUCUUAAAAGUUGAGAAGAUGUUGAUGAACUUAGUUAGAACAGAAUGUUUCUUUAUGCAUCUAUCAUACAAGACUCAGCCAUGCAGUUUCACACAGGUGAUGGCAGUAGGCAUCAACCAAGCAAGAAUCCAAUUUGUAAAAGCUUUCACUUUAUCACGUCAUCCUUGAAGGAUGCUCUAUAUGGUAACUGUAUGAGCUAUCCAUAAUAAAUGAUCCACAGGGAAAAGUGAUUAAUCAUAUCUGGAGUUGUUAGUUUAGCAAGGUAAAACACAUUCCAGUGCCUUACUGAUAUAUAUUUAGAGGCACAGAUUCAAUGACCGAAGUGGAUGGGUAAAAAAUCCCUAGUUAUGUAAUUUAUUUUAAGAAAGUUCUUUGUUAAAGAAAAGCCAUGAAGGCAACUUCCUAUAGCACAAUCAAAUGAGCACAGGAAAAGAGUGAUCUCUUCUGGCACACACAUGGACUGGUCAGAUGGCUGAUAUUUGCAACAAACAUAGGAUCACACUAAACAGAUGGCAAAAAAAAAAAAAAAAAAAAAACCUUCUUUUUUUGCUCUAUUUCCCAAAAGAGAAAACAAUUGACACACGAUAUGCCAUGACAUAUUGUCCCAGUCUGUUCUGCAUCUAGCUGUAACAUUUCAUAACACUUCUUUCUUCAAAUGAAGAAAGCAGACUUGAUCUCUAACAUCCUUCCCUCACCACUAAAGUUUCGUUGGUAUUUAUUUUCUUAUUAAAGUAAUUUAGUAACUUCGGCCAAAUUUCUUUUGCUGUUAUAUCAGGUACUGACAGAUAAUAUACAGGCAUGAGCAUCCUGAGUUUUUCCCCAGCAAACUUUUACUGUGACUCACCACAACUCAUUUCAUGUAAAGGAAGUAUAACAGGAAACAGAAAUCUAGGCACCUGUUAACUUCUGAGUAAUUAGUGAAACAUAUAAUGUCUGCACUAAAUUUUCUUCAUCAUACAGUAACUGGAAUUCAUCAGAGUAAGACCCAAGCAUUUUAAUAGUCAAAGCAACUUGUACAGUUAUCUUGUGAAUUUCCCUUUCCAAGAUUAUGGACUAUGAUUUAAGAUUCUGGAUCACAGUAAAUAAUAUUCUGAAUAUUAACCAGCUAUAAUACAGAUUCUUAAAAGUAUCCCACCAGAACUUUUCAAAAUACAAUUGGUCCUUUUUCUUUUUUUUUCAAAAAAUAUCAUAAAUCCUCAUCUCUUC